GUAGCAAAGCUCAGGAGUCCAGACACACCAGCUCCAAGUAGUGCCAGUGCUCUUAUUGACUUAGCAUAGCCAUCAGUCUUCGGUUCCUGCUUCAGUAGAGCUAAAGCUGGUGACUCAAACUGAAAUCUCUUUCCGAGAAGCUGUUUGAUCCCUCUCCGAGCAGCCAUUGGAGUCGAUUCACUGGAGCUCCGGUCAGCUGAUUCCGGUUAAGCUCGCCGCCGGUGAGGAUCUGGUCGCCGGAGCGCAGCCCGAUGCCGCCGAUGAGGAGGGUCUG
rnacentral:misc_RNA from 1 species